GGCCGCUUAGCUCAGUUGGUUAGAGCGUUCGGUUUACAUCCGAAAGGCCAGGGGUUCGAGACCCUUAGCGGCCACAA
rnacentral:tRNA from 1 species